rnacentral:rRNA from 1 species
UACGUAGGGGGCGAGCGUUGUCCGGAUUUAUUGGGCGUAAAGAGCGUGUAGGCGGCCCAGGUAGGUCUGCUGUGAAAACUCGAGGCUCAACCUCGAGACGUCGGCGGAAACCAUCUGGCUAGAGUCCGGAAGAGGAGAGUGGAAUUCCUGGUGUAGCGGUGAAAUGCGCAGAUAUCAGGAAGAACACCCGUGGCGAAGGCGGCUCUCUGGGACGGUACUGACGCUGAGACGCGAAAGCGUGG